rnacentral:rRNA from 1 species
GAUAAACGCUGGCGGCGUGCCUAAUACAUGCAAGUCGGACGAGGGGUCCUUGUAGCAAUACGGGGACUUCCUAGUGGCGAAUGGGUGAGUAACGCGUUGGUGACCUGCCCCAAAGAGAGGAAUAACUCCGGGAAACUGGAGCUAAUACCUCAUGUGGUUGCGAGAUUUAGAACCUCGCAACUAAAGGAGAAAUCCACUUUGGGAGGGGCCUGCGUCCCAUCAGCUAGUUGGUAGGGUAAAAGCCUACCAAGGCGACGACGGGUAGGGGGCCUGAGAGGGUGAUCCCCCACACUGGCACUGAAACACGGGCCAGACACCUACGGGUGGCAG